rnacentral:rRNA from 1 species
GACGAACGCUGGCGGCGUGCUUAACACAUGCAAGUCGAACGGUAAGGCCCUUCGGGGUACACGAGUGGCGAACGGGUGAGUAACACGUGGGUGAUCUGCCCUGCACUUCGGGAUAAGCCUGGGAGACUGGGUCUAAUACCGGAUAGGACCACUGCCUGCAUGGGUGGUGGUGGAAAGCUUUUGCGGUGUGGGAUGGGCCCGCGGCCUAUCAGCUUGUUGGUGGGGUGAUGGCCUACCAAGGCGACGACGGGUAGCCGGACUGGGAGGGGGACCGGCCACACUGCGUCGGAGAUACGGCCCAGACUCCUACGGGAGGCAGCAGGAGGGAAUAUUGCACAAUGGGCGCAAGCCUGAUGCAGCGACGCCGCGUGAGGGAUGACGGCCUUCGGGUUGUAAACCUCUUUCAGCACCGACGAAGCGCAAGUGACGGUAGGUGCAGAAGAAGGACCGGCCAACUACGUGCCAGCCGCCGCAGUAA